rfam:Streptomyces sp. WM6378 P402contig39.1, whole genome shotgun sequence.
CCGAUGGGCGACCGCCUGCUCGGACACUGACAUCGGUACCUCGUACGGCCGGUGCAG